UAGCAAGUUUAAUUAUCAAAUUAAAUAUUAGGUUGGUGCAAAAGUAAUUGCGGUUUCAGAUCAUAAAUUUAAAUCUUAUAACUAUGCUCAAACACAUCUUUAUUAAUCAAAAUGAGAACCAUUACAAUCAACACAUUUUUGCCAACGAGAAAUGUUUGUUUCUUCCUGCAGCAUAAAAAUCCAUGUUUCUGGAUUCGAUGAACUCUUGGAAAGCAUUUUCUGCAUCCUGCCGGCUUUGGAAGCAUUUUCCCUGCAAAAUGCUGUGGAAUCGGUAGUCAGUGGGUGAGAGGUCAAGUGAAUAUGGUGGAUGAGGCAAAACUUCAUAGCCCAAUUUGUUCAACUUUUAAAGUGUUGGUUGUGCGAUGGGUGGUCUAGUGUUGUCAUGGAGAAGAGUGCCUUUCAAGGGUGUGGCUUUCCCGUUCCACCUCCGCAGGCCUUUAUGCAGGUCCUGACUGAUAUGUGCUCACACUUGUGUCUGUGAAUGGCUCUGGUAAGAAUUAGAUGGUGACUGAGUGGAAACAGACCCGAGACUUCUCUAGGCUAAAGGAAGCAGACUAUGUAUCCAUCUUGUUUGUAACUGCAGAAUUGCCUAUACAUCUAGUGUUGUCUAGUGUUGUCAUGGCUGCAGUCUUUGCAGUUUUCAGUGCAUCUCAUCCAUUUGCUGAGCAUACUUCUCUGAUGUAAUGGUUUCGCUGGGGUUCAGAAAGCUGUAGUGGAUCAGACUGGCAGCAGGCCACCAAACAGUGACCAUGACCUUUUUUUGGUGCAAGUUUAGCUUUGGGACUUCUUCUAGGUCCAUCUACUGAGCUGGUAAUUGUUGGUUGUCGUGCAAAAUCCACUUUUUGUCCCACGAAAUAAUCUGAGAAAUAGUUCGUUGUUUAUGUGUACAAUAAGAAAAGACGACACUUGAAAAUGAUGUUUUUCUUUAAUUUUUCUCAGCUCAUGAGGCACCCAACUUAUCGAGCUUUUUCACCUUUCCUGUUUGCUUCAAAUGCGGAACAACCCUAGAAUGGUCAACGUUAAGUUUUUCCACAACUUCUCCUGCAGUUGUAAGAGAAUCAGCUUUGAUGAUUGCUCUCAAUUGGUCGAUGUCAACUUUCAAUGACCGACCACUGUGCUCCUCAUCUUCAAGGCUCUCCUCUCCUUUGCAAAACUUCAAGUACCACUGCACUGUAAGUUCAUUAGCAGUUCCUGGGCUGAAUGUGUUGUUGAUGUUGCGAGUUGUCUGCGCUGCUUUACAACCAUUUUGAACUCGAAUUGUUUUUUGUUUAACAUCAUUUCCAUAGUCUAAGUUUUGAUUCUAAGUGCUUUCUCCUAAAUAGAAAUUAUAGGAUCAAGCUGGGGGUGGUGACACGUGCUUUUAAUCCCAGCUACUCAGGAGGCUGAGGCAGGAGGAUCACUUGAACCCAUGAGUUUGAGGCUGCAGUGAGCUAUGAUUGCAUCACUGCAAGCCAGACUGGGUGGCAGAAUGAGAUCCCAUUU
rnacentral:lncRNA from 10 species